ensembl:lncRNA
AGUUCCCGUUAUUCAUGUUCCUGUUUUACAUGUUAUAGAACAGAGAUUGAUUAAUGGCACAUGUCAUUACGUCCCCACACCACGCCAUCCGACGUUCCCUCCAGAAUUUCGAAAUACAGUUCGUCUUCGUUAUGGUACCGUAUACAGUUUUGGGUGUUUUUUAUUUAAAAUUUUACAAAAGCUUCAAGUGCAGUUAAUUAUUUGUCAUGCUAUACAUGCAAUUGGACGACUGCUUGAAGCCGUGGGCUGCGUCCAAAACCACGUACUUACCUGCUAUAUAGUAGCUGAGAUACAUGUAUUUCACCUACUAUAUGCAUGUAUUUCACCUACUAUUUAGUAGGUGAAAUACUUGUAUAUAGUAGGUGAAAUACGUGUAUAUAGUUGGUGAAAUACUUGUAUAUAUUAGGUGAAAUACACGUAUUUCGGCUACAAUAUAGUAGGUGAAAUACAUGUAUAUGGUAGAAUACAUGUAUAUAGUAGGUGAAAUACAUGUAUAUAGUGGAAUACGUGUAUAUAGUAGGUGAAAUACACGUUUUUUGGUUACGAUAUAGUAGGUGAAAUACAUGUAUAUAGUAGAAUAUGUGUAUAUAGUAGGUGAAAGACAUGUAUAUAGUAGGUGAAAUACACGUAUUUCGGCUACGAUAUAGUAGGUGAAAUACACGUAUAUAGUAGAAUACAUGUAUAUAGUAGGUGAAAUACAUGUAUAUAGUAGAAUACGUGUAUAUAGUAGGUGAAAUACAUGUAUAUAGUAGGUGAAAUACAUGUAUAUAGUAGAAUACAUGUAUAUAGUAGGUGAAAUACAUGUAUAUAGUAGAAUACGUGUAUAUAGUAGGUGAAAUACAUGUAAGUAAUAGGUGAAAUACAUGUAUAUAGUAGGUGAAAUACAUGUAUAUGGUAGAAUACGUGUAUAUAGUAGGUGAAAUACUUCUAUAUAGUAGGUGAAAUACAUGUAUAUAGUAGGUGAAAUACUUGUAUAUAGUAGAAUACGUGUAUAUAGUAGGUGAAAUACAUGUAAGUAAUAGGUGAAACACACGUAUUUCAGCUACGAUAUAGUAGGUGAAAUACAUGUAUAUAGUAGGUGAAGUACAUGUAUAUGGUAGAAUACGUGUAUAUAGUAGGUGAAAUACUUGUAUAUAGUAGAAUACGUGUAUACAGUAGGUGAAAUACUUGUAUAUAGUAGGUGAAAUACAUGUAUAUAGUAGAAUACGUGUAUAUAGUAGGUGAAAUACUUGUAUAUAGUAGGUGAAAUACAUGUAUAUGGUAAAAUACAUGUAUAUAGUAGGUGAAAUACUUGUAUACCGUAUGUGAAAUACUUGUAUGUAGUAGGUGAAAUACAUGUAUAUAGUAGAAUACGUGUAUAUAGUAGGUGAAAUACAUGUAUAUAGUAGAAUACGUCUAUAUAGCAGGUGAAAUACAUGUAAAUAGUAGAAUACGUGUAUAUAGUAGGUGAAAUACAUGUUUAUAGUAGGUGAAAUACACGUAUUUCGGCUACGAUAUAGUAGGUGAAAUACAUGUAUAUGGUAGAAUACAUGUAUAUAGUUGGUGAAAUACAUGUAUAUAGUAGGUGAAUUACACGUAUUUCGGCUACGAUAUAGUAGUUGAAAUACGUGUAUAUAGUAGAAUACGUGUAUAUAGUAGGUGAAAUACAUGUAUAUAGUAGGUGAAAUACAUGUAUAUAGUAGAAUACAUGUAUAUAGUAGGUGAAAUACAUGUAUAUAGUAGGUGAAAUACUUGUAUAUUAGGUGAAAUACUUGUAUAUGCAAGCAUUUCACUUGCUAUAUACAAGUAUCUCGUCAGCAAAAACUUCCCCAUAUCAACAGAUACACGUUCUGUAAAGCCGUUUAUGUGGAGUGUCUAGCCUACAAAUCCCUGCGCAGAUUGUAUCUAAAGAAACAGUGACAAUCUACAGCAAUAAUAUAAACCUGUAAUUUGCCUUGUAGCCCGAGCUACUGUCAAAGCUGCGGUUAUAGAAAUAAAUCUCAACACCUUCCGACCAAUCGGAUUUGAGAUUUCGACAGGGCUAUAAUAAUGUAAUAAUAAUCAGGUUUCGUCGUGUGUCUUAGUAAUGAUAUAUCGACUCAGCCCUAGUUCGGUUUUCCGUUUUCGUUUAAUGCUCUUAGCAUACCAGUGUGGUUCAUUAUAAUGUGCCAUCCAAACACUGUCAUAAAGUUUUUGGCUAUGGAUGGCUCACAGCACUGGGAAGUGAUGUGUAUGUGUGUGUGUGUGUAUGUGUGUGUGUGUGUGUGUUAAUUAGAGGUCGUGCAGGGAGAGAGGCUUGAGAUUCCACACACUCAAGGCCUCUGAAUCAAACAACCUGGUGCUUUUUGGUGGUUUUUUUUGCACUUUCAUGCCAACUGGUAUCAAUCCAGCACCAGUGGAGCAAAAUGCUCAGGACACGGUCUUUAUAAUGAGGUGUAGUUGCACACUGAGUCACCAUUUGAUCAGAUCCAUAUAUGCUAUAUAUAUAUAUAUAUAUAUAUAUAUAUA